AUUGAACGCUGGCGGCAGGCCUAACACAUGCAAGUCGAAUGGUAACAGGAAACAGCUUGCUGUUUCGCUGACGAGUGGCGGACGGGUGAGUAAUGUCUGGGAAACUGCCUGAUGGAGGGGGAUAACUACUGGAAACGGUAGCUAAUACCGCAUAACGUCGCAAGACCAAAGAGGGGGACCUUCGGGCCUCUUUCCAUCAGAUGUUCCCAGAUGGGAUUAGCUAGUAGGUGGGGUAACGGCUCACCUAGGCGACGAUCCCUAGCUGGUCUGAGAGGAUGACCAGCCACACUGGAACUGAGACACGGUCCAGACUCCUACGGGAGGCAGCAGUGGGGAAUAUUGCACAAUGGGCGCAAGCCUGAUGCAGCCAUGCCGCGUGUAUGAAGAAGGCCUUCGGGUUGUAAAGUACUUUCAGCGGGGAGGAAGGGAGUAAAGUUAAUACCUUUGCUCAUUGACGUUACCCGCAGAAGAAGCACCGGCUAACUCCGUG
rnacentral:rRNA from 1 species